rnacentral:rRNA from 1 species
UACGGGGGGGGCAAGCGUUGUUCGGAAUUACUGGGCGUAAAGGGCUCGUAGGCGGCCAACUAAGUCGGAUGUGAAAUCCCCAGGCUUAACCUGGGAACUGCAUCCGAUACUGGAUGGCUUGAAUCCGGGAGAGGGAUGCGGAAUUCCAGGUGUAGCGGUGAAAUGCGUAGAUAUCUGGAGGAACACCGGUGGCGAAGGCGGCAUCCUGGACCGGCAUGACGCUGAGGAGCGAAAGCCAGGGGAGCAAACGGG